rnacentral:rRNA from 1 species
AAAUUGAAGAGUUUGAUCAUGGCUCAGAUUGAACGCUGGCGGCAGGCCUAACACAUGCAAGUCGAACGGUAACAGAAAGCAGCUUGCUGCUUUGCUGACGAGUGGCGGACGGGUGAGUAAUGUCUGGGAAACUGCCUGAUGGAGGGGGAUAACUACUGGAAACGGUAGCUAAUACCGCAUAACGUCGCAAGACCAAAGAGGGGGACCUUCGGGCCUCUUGCCAUCGGAUGUGCCCAGAUGGGAUUAGCUUGUUGGUGGGGUAACGGCUCACCAA